GAAAUGCGAUAAGUAAUGUGAAUUGCAGAGUUCCGUGAAUCAUCGAAUCUUUGAACGCACAUAGCGCCCUCUGGCAUUCCGGGGGGCAUGCCUGUCCGAGCGUCAUUACGCACCCUCAAGCCCGGCUUGUGUGAUGGGCCCCGGCGUCUCGUUCGCGAGACGGGCCCGAAAGGCAGCGGCGGCGUCGACCCGAUGAGCCCGAGCGUAUGGGGACUUCUGUCACACGUUCGCGGUGCGGACCGGCGCCUGCUUGACUUUUCUGAUUAUCCAGGUUGACCUCGGAUCAGGUAGGGAUACCCGCUGAACUUAAGC
rnacentral:misc_RNA from 1 species